rnacentral:sRNA from 1 species
UGUCAUGGAUGCAUCGAGGGUGACUCCCAG